rnacentral:rRNA from 1 species
UACGUAGGGGGCAAGCGUUGUCCGGAUUUACUGGGCGUAAAGGGCGUGCAGGCGGUCUGUUAAGUGCAGGGUGAAAGCUCCCGGCUCAACUGGGAGAGGUCCUUGCAUACUGGCGGACUUGAGGGGGGUAGAGGAAAGUGGAAUUCCCGGUGUAGUGGUGAUAUGCGUAGAUAUCGGGAGGAACACCUGUGGCGAAGGCGGCUUUAUGGGCCCUACCUGACGCUGAGACGCGAAAGCGUGGGGAGCGAACCGG